GUUUGAUCCUGGCUCAAGAUGAACGCUAGCGGCAGGCUUAACACAUGCAAGUCGGGCGGCAGCGGGGUGGGAGCUUGCUCCCACUGCCGGCGAGCGGCGCACGGGUGAGUAACACGUAUGCAACCUGCCCCUGUCAGGGGGACAACCCGCCGAAAGGCGGGCUAAGCCCGCGUAUAUCGCCCCGGGGCAUCCCGGGGGGAGGAAAGGAGCGAUCCGGACAGGGAUGGGCAUGCGGCGCAUUAGCUGGUCGGCGGGGUAACGGCCCACCGAGGCGACGAUGCGUAGGGGUUCUGAGAGGAAGGCCCCCCACACUGGUACUGAGACACGGACCAGACUCCUACGGGAGGCAGCAGUAGGGAAUUUUCGUCAAUGGGCGCAAGCCUGAACGAGCAAUGCCGCGUGAACGAGGAAGGUCUUCGGAUCGUAAAGUUCUGUUGAAGGGGAAAAAGAGCGGAGAGAGGAAAUGAACUCCGAUUGAUAUUACCCUUCGAGGAAGUCACGGCUAACUACGUGCCAGCAGCCGCGGUAAUACGUAGGUGGCGAGCGUUAUCCGGAAUGAUUGGGCGUAAAGGGUGCGUAGGCGGCCUGCUAAGUCUGGAGUGAAAGGUACCGGCUCAACCGGUAUAGGCUCUGGAAACUGGCGGGCUAGAGAGCAGGAGAGGGCGGUGGAACUCCAUGUGUAGCGGUAAAAUGCGUAGAUAUAUGGAAGAACACCAGUGGCGAAGGCGGCCGCCUGGCCUGUUACUGACGCUGAGGCACGAAAGCGUGGGGAGCAAAUAGGAUUAGAUACCCUAGUAGUCCACGCCGUAAACGAGGAGGACCAAGUGUUGGGGAAGACCCAGUGCUGCAGUUAACGCAGUGAGUCCUCCGCCUGGGGAGUAUGCACGCAAGUGUGAAACUCAAAGGAAUUGACGGGGGCCCGCACAAGCGGUGGAGUAUGUGGUUUAAUUCGAAGCAACGCGAAGAACCUUACCAGGCCUUGAUAUAGGGUGCGAAGCUGUGGAGACAUAGUGGAGGUAAACAUCCAUACAGGUGGUGCAUGGUUGUCGUCAGCUCGUGUCGUGAGAUGUUCAGUUAAGUCUGGCAACGAGCGCAACCCUCGUGAUGUGUUACCAAUAUCGAGUUAGGGACUCACAUCAGACUGCCGGUGAGAAACCGGAGGAAGGCGGGGAUGACGUCAAAUCAUCAUGCCCCUUAUGGCCUGGGCUACACACGUACUACAAUGGCGGCGACAGAGGGCAGCGAGCCUGCGAAGGCAAGCGAAUCCCAAAAAAGCCGUCCCAGUUCGGAUUGGAGUCUGCAACCCGACUCCAUGAAGUUGGAAUCGCUAGUAAUCGCGGAUCAGCAUGCCGCGGUGAAUACGUUCUCGGGCCUUGCACUCACCGCCCGUCAA
rnacentral:rRNA from 1 species